rnacentral:rRNA from 1 species
UACGUAGGGUGCAAGCGUUGUCCGGAAUUAUUGGGCGUAAAGAGCUCGUAGGCGGUCUGUCGCGUCGGCUGUGAAAACCCGGAGCUCAACUCCGGGCCUGCAGUCGAUACGGGCAAACUGGAGUGCUGCAGGGGAGACUGGAAUUCCUGGUGUAGCGGUGAAAUGCGCAGAUAUCAGGAGGAACACCGGUGGCGAAGGCGGGUCUCUGGGCAGUAACUGACGCUGAGGAGCGAAAGCGUGGGGAGCGAACAGG